UUGCUUCAUUUGGUUUCAUGUAAGUGAAGUUAAUGAUAUCCAGUAAGGAAGCAAAAGAUGGCCAUAUGUGAUGAUAAUAAGGCUCAAACUACUGAAUCUUGAUGUCAAUUGAGAGCUGAUGAGUGUCAAAUUUACUUUGCAUUGAGUGGGGAUGUCUUGAGAUUCAAUGAAAAUCUUUUGUUCCAGGUUCAUAAUGUUCUGGAGACUGCAUGUACAAGUUAUCAAUUCAUCAAAAUUAGGGGGUUCUACAAGCAUUUACUGAAUUCAUCGAAGAAAAAAAAGAUUGUACUUCAAAGAGCUGCACAAGUAAAGAUGUACUCUCUGCAUACAUCAGAAUUGUCUAUUCUGAUUUGACAUCAAAUGGAGUCUUGGGGUUGAUCUUGGUCUGUGCUUAAACUGAAAUUAUAAGAAAAUAUGGGAAAAACAGAUCCUCAAACAAAGUUCUUGUUAGUUACUCUACAUGCCAUAUGCUUGAAUUAUCAGAAAAUGAGGGAAAAGACAGACCAUCAAAAAUACAAGUUCUUGGAGUUAGUCUACAUGCUUAAGCUGAUAUUUUCAAAAAAUAAGGAAAAAACAGAUCAGAUGAAUUUCUUGUUCGUUGCUCUAUACGCGUAAAUUAUUAAAAAACAAAGGAAAAAACAGAACUUCAAAAUAUUAAUUCAUCCAAAUUUGGAGGCUCUUCUACAAACAUAUACCUAAAUUAUUGGAAAAAAAGAAAAGAAAAUUGUACAUCAAAUAGCUGCACAAGUAAAGAUGCAUUUUAUGCAUACAUCAUGUGUCCAUUCUGAUUUGAUGUGAAUAGAGCCUUGGAAUUGGUGGUUAAUCUGUGUGCUUAAGCUGGAAUUAUCAAAAUGCAAGGGAAAAAGAUCGGACUAAGUUCUCAUCAUUUACUUGACUAAAAUAAUAGCCUGCCCUGUAAGAAUUGUGGCUACAGCACAAAUAAAUAACCCUGGAAGCUAGGUGGAAGACAACACAGUGCUUGGGGCUCGCAAGCAAGGCUCUACACCCUGUAGCUCGUGUGUUUUUUUUUUAGUAUUUUGGAGUUUUGCAGUUCACUUGUGGAAGACAUGAUCCAAGGAUGAAUCUAAAAUGGUAAAGGGGAGAUAAUUUGUUUGCUGAUAAUAAAAAAUAUUUCUGUAUUAGUUUUUUUUUUUUUGGAACUUUAUACAAUGGAUUAUUGGAAAACUGUGUGAAAAGGAACUUAAAUGAAUAUAGGAAGGAUCAGUGGAAAUGUGGACUCCAAUAAUAAUUUUAAUAUAAUGGAGCAAGCUCUCUGGAUCUAAUCUUUACUAUCAAAGGAAUUAGUAUUUUAAGAAUGAUAUAAAUGGAUAACUGAUAUAAAUUCUUUUGGUGUAUGAAAUGUAAAGGUUGUUAGUGCAUAACAAGAUUAAAUGGUCAUGGAAUGACUGUUAAUCCUGCAUAGAUCUGUUUGAUGCAGGUGUUUUAUGCUGAACUUUUCUGUAGUAGACAGCUGUCAUCAAUAGAAUAUCUGCAUUGUU